rnacentral:rRNA from 1 species
AUUGAACGCUGGCGGCAUGCCUAACACAUGCAAGUCGAACGGCAGCGCGGGGGCAACCCUGGCGGCGAGUGGCGGACGGGUGAGGAAUACAUAGGAAUCUACCUCGACGUGGGGGAUAACGUAGGGAAACUUACGCUAAUACCGCAUACGACCGAGAGGGGAAAGCGGCGGACCGCAAGGCGUCGCGCGGCGGGAUGAGCCUAUGUCCGAUUAGCUAGUUGGCGGGGUAAGAGCCCACCAAGGCGACGAUCGGUAGCUGGUCUGAGAGGAUGAUCAGCCACACUGGGACUGAGACACGGCCCAGACUCCUACGGGUGGCAG